AGCUACAGGCUUAACACAUGCAAGUCGAGGGGCAGCAUGAAUAUUGGCUUGCCAAUAUUUGAUGGCGACCGGCGCACGGGUGAGUAACACGUAUCCAACCUUCCGGUUACUCGGGGAUAGGCUUUCGAAAGAAAGAUUAAUACCCGAUGUUGUGUAUCUUUCUCCUGAUUGAUACGCCAAAGGAUUCCGGUAACCGAUGGGGAUGCGUUCCAUUAGGCAGUUGGCGGGGUAACGGCCCACCAAACCUUCGAUGGAUAGGGGUUCUGAGAGGAAGGUCCCCCACAUUGGAACUGAGACACGGUCCAAACUCCUACGGGAGGCAGCAGUGAGGAAUAUUGGUCAAUGGACGGAAGUCUGAACCAGCCAAGUAGCGUGAAGGAUGACUGCCCUCUGGGUUGUAAACUUCUUUUAUACGGGAAUAACAUGAGGUAUCGGGUACCUUA
rnacentral:rRNA from 1 species